rnacentral:rRNA from 1 species
GGACUACACGGGUAUCUAAUCCUGUUUGCUCCCCACGCUUUCGCGCCUCAGCGUCAGUAACGAGCCAGAAAGCCGCCUUCGCCUCUGAUGUUCCUCCUAAUAUCUACGAAUUUCACCUCUACACUAGGAAUUCCGCUUUCCUCUCUCGUCCUCUAGGUAUACCGUUUCAGGCGCAAUUCCCAGGUUAAGCCUGGGGCUUUCACGCUUGACUAAUAUUCCCGCCUACGCGCCCUUUACGCCCAGUCAUUCCGAACAACGCUAGCACCCUCUGUCUUACCGCGGCUGCUGGCAC